UAUCUCUGUAGAGUCUGCAUAUCAAUAAGCGGAGGAAAAGAAACUAACAAGGAUUCCCUUAGUAACGGCGAGUGAAGCGGGAAGAGCUCAAAUUUGAAAUCUUCAAGGUUCUACCUUGACGAAUUGUAGUUUAUAGAAGUGUUUUCUGUUAGUGGAGUGGCAAAAGUUCUUUGGAAUAGGACAUCAUAGAGGGUGAGAAUCCCGUAUUUGGUCAUUCCUUCUAGCUUUGUGAUACACUUUCAAAGAGUCGGAUUGUUUGGGAAUGCAGUCCAAAAUGGGUGGUAAAUUUCAUCUAAAGCUAAAUAUUGGCGAGAGACCGAUAGCGAACAAGUACCGUGAGGGAAAGAUGAAAAGAACUUUGAAAAGAGAGUUAAACAGUACGUGAAAUUGUCAAAAGGGAAGCGUUUGACACCAGUGUUGUUUUCUCGAAAAUCAAUUAAAAAUGGCGGGAUUUUGUGUUGUAUUGACUUUAUCAGCUUUCUGCACUUUUUUCUUGUCUUUUUUAAUGCACUUUUCGUUUAACAAGUCAACAUCAAUUUCUUUUGUUGUAAAAGGGUCAUUGGAAGGUGGCUUUCUUUUCGGAGAAAGUGUUUAUAGCCUUUGACUUCUGCAAUCGGAGAGAUUGAGGUCUGCAGCGUAGAUCCUUCGGGGUUAGAUACAUUUGUGCUAAGUUAUAGUUUUUCAUAGACAACAUGUUGACUAUGAUUAAUCAUGUAGCUUACUCGCUUAUGCUAUUUUACCUACGCUUAGGAUGUUGAGUAGCGACAUACGCAC
rnacentral:rRNA from 1 species